AUUCCCUUUACAGGGCAGAUGAUGAAUAAUACGCCCCCGGUUUGCACACCGGGAAUCCAGGAGAGUUCAUGUAC
rfam:Shimwellia blattae DSM 4481 = NBRC 105725, complete genome.